rnacentral:rRNA from 1 species
GACGAACGCUGGCGGCGUGCUUAAUACAUGCAAGUCGAACGGAAAGGUCCUGCUCUUGCUGGGUGCUCGAGUGGCGAACAGGUGAGUAACACGUGAGUAUCCUGCCCUUGUCUUUGUGAUAACUUCAGGAAACUGCGGCUCAUACCGCAUAUGAUCUCCUGCUGCACGUUGUUGGUUGGAAAGUUUCGGCGGUUGGGGAUGGACUCGCGGCUUAUCAGCUUGAUUGGCGAGUAGUGGCGUACCAAGGCUUUGACGGGUAGCCGGCCUGAGAGGGUUACCGGCCACAUUGGGACUGAGAUACGGCCCAGACGCCUACGGGAGGCAGCAGUGGAGAAUAUUGCACAAUGGGCGGAAGUCUGAUGCAGCAGCGCCGCGUGCGGGAUGACGGCCUUCGGGUUGUAAACCGCUUUCGCCUGUGACGAAGCGUGAGUGACGGUAAUGGGUAAAGAAGCACCGGCUAACUACGUG